CAGCAGCAUUUCAAGUUAUAGCUCAAGUUCUUCAAGCUUACGAGGUCCAUCGAGUAGUUCAAGAAGCUCGUCAAGCUCUUUAUUAUCCCCAAGCAUCAGUAUCCCAAGCUCAAGCUCUAGUUCUUCAAGCAGCAUUAGCAGCAGCAGCAGUAGCAG